AGUGAACGCUGGCGGUAGGCCUAACACAUGCAAGUCGAACGGCAGCACAGUAAGAGCUUGCUCUUACGGGUGGCGAGUGGCGGACGGGUGAGGAAUACAUCGGAAUCUACUUUUUCGUGGGGGAUAACGUAGGGAAACUUACGCUAAUACCGCAUACGACCUACGGGUGAAAGCAGGGGAUCUUCGGACCUUGCGCGAUUGAAUGAGCCGAUGUCGGAUUAGCUAGUUGGCGGGGUAAAGGCCCACCAAGGCGACGAUCCGUAGCUGGUCUGAGAGGAUGAUCAGCCACACUGGAACUGAGAAACGGUCCAGACUCCUACGGGAGGCAGCAGUGGGGAAUAUUGGAUAAUGGGCGCAAGCCUGAUCCAGCCAUACCGCGUGGGUGAAGAAGGCCUUCGGGUUGUAAAGCCCUUUUGUUGGGAAAGAAAAGCAGCAGGUUAAUACCCCGCUGUUCUGACGGUACCCAAAGAAUAAGCACCGGCUAACUUCGUG
rnacentral:rRNA from 1 species